GCCUUUGUUGUGUAAUGGUCAGCACGCUGGACGCGUAUUCCAGUGAUCCGUGGUUCGAAUCCCGGCGAAGGCG
rnacentral:tRNA from 1 species